rnacentral:rRNA from 1 species
GACGAACGCUGGCGGCGUGCCUAAUACAUGCAAGUCGAACGAGUGGCGGACGGGUGAGUAACACGUGGGAACCUACCCAUCAGCGGGGGAUAACUACUCGAAAGAGUGGCUAAUACCGCAUACUUUUGGAGCGGCCCAUAUCGGAUUAGCUAUUUGGUGGGGUAAAGGCUCACCAAGGCAAAGAUCCGUAGCUGGUUUGAGAGGACGAUCAGCCACACUGGAACUGAGACACGGCCCAGACUCCUACGGGAGGCAGCAGUGGGGAAUUUUGGACAAUGGGGGAAACCCUGAUCGAGCCAUCCCGCGUGUAUGAGAAGGCCUUCGGGUUGUAAAGUACUUUUGGCAGAGAAGCGGUAUCUGAAGAAUAAGCACCGGCUAACUACGUGCCAGCAGCCGCGGUAAUAC